rnacentral:rRNA from 1 species
AAGAAAGUAAAUAAGGGCGUAUGGAGGAUGCCUUGGCUCUCAGAGGCGAAGAAGGACGCGAUAAGCUGCGAUAAGCUGCGGGGAGGAGCAAAUAUCCGUUAAUCCGCAGAUUUCCGAAUGGGGCAACCCGGAUGGUUGAAGACCAUCCACCAAUAAGGAGUGAACGCAGGGAACUGAAACAUCUUAGUACCUGCAGGAAAAGAAAACAAUAGUGAUUUCGUAAGUAGUGGCGAGCGAACGCGAAACAGCCCAAACCGAUGAUGUUUCGGCAUUGUCGGGGUUGUAGGACUGCGCCGUAUGUAUUCAAAAGGAAGUGGAAGCAUCUGGAAAGUUGCAUCACAGAGGGUGAUAAUCCCGUACACGUAUAGUUUGAAUAUAUUAGCAGAAUCCUGAGUAGGGCGGGACACGAGGAAUCCUGUCUGAAUCUGCGGGGACCAUCCCGUAAGGCUAAAUACUCCUGAGAGACCGAUAGUGAACCAGUACCGUGAGGGAAAGGUGAAAAGUACUUCGAACAGAAGAGUGAAACAGUACCUGAAACCAUACGCUUACAAGCGGUCGGAGUCCCUAUAGGGAUGACGGCGUGCCUAUUGCAUAAUGAGCCUACGAGUUGCUCUUCUCCGGCAAGGUUAAGUACCUAAGGUACGAAGCCGAAGCGAAAGCGAGUCUGAACAGGGCGCUUGAGUCGGAGGAGGCAGACGCGAAACUUUGUGAUCUACCCAUGACCAGGUUGAAGUUACGAUAACACGUAAUGGAGGACCGAACCGAUAAACGUUGAAAAGUUUCCGGAUGAGUUGUGGGUAGGGGUGAAAGGCUAAUCAAACUGAGAGAUAGCUCGUACUCCCCGAAAUGCAUUUAGGUGCAGCCUGUGGAGAGGUGUAUCAGAGGUAGAGCUACUGAUUGGGCAAGAGGGCUUCACCGCCUAUCGACCCCAGACAAACUCCGAAUGCUGAUACAUCAUACAUGGAGUGAGCCGUCGGGUGCUAAGAUCCGGCGACGAAAGGGAAAGAACCCGGACCAUCAGCUAAGGUCCCCAAAUAUAUGCUAAGUUGAAUGAACGAGGUAUGACUGCAGCGACAGCUAG